CCACAGACAAAUAAUGUGAACCAGGGAAAUAAUAUAAAAAUGAUUAGAAAAAUAUAUCUUGAUACAAAACGAACAAUCAGGUGUUUGCAUGGCAGGCCUGGGACUCUCAGGGAGCCUUCUUUCCAGCACCAUGGACCUCUCUCUGCUCAUUGUUGAGUGUUCCUGAGUAUAUUGUUUAUAUGUAUCUUGUCAGACUCAUCAAGGUCUGACUUGCAUCUGAAACGUUGUUGGUUUAGGAUACACUGGACUAGGAGGUCACCAGGAUCAAGUUCCUCCUGAUGGUGAACAAGCAGGGCCAGACCUGCCUUUCAGGGUGCCCCUUUUAUGGACUUCAAACUAGUAUAUCGACAGUAUGCUGCUCUCUUCAUAGUUGUUGGUAUCAGUGACACUGAGAAUGAGCUCACAACUUUGAGGUUCUUGACAAGUACUUCAGUCAUGUGAGUGAAUUGGAUGUAUCCUUUACAAAUGAUACGUUUUGUUAUUAACCAGUUUGAGGAAAUUCAUUGAAACAGAUGCUGGGGUUGUCUGCGUGUCCACCCCUCACAUUAGGGGCUUGUCAUGUGGCUAGCCGACUGUGCCAUUCCAGGCCUGGCAUUUAUUGCGGCACUGCACAGACUGAUGAAGACAACUGUCAUUGUCUGAGUCUUUUUCUCAGUGGGCAGUCAGACUUGCCAGGGUCAGACCAGUCAUAAGAAGUGUAAUGCAACUACAGUCGGUUGUUUUUUUAAAAAGUUGUUCAACCUGGUGAGACAUGUUAAUGCAGAGGUUAAAUUCUAUGACUGAAACUUAAAGUCAAUUCAUCCUUUUACAGAAAGACAAUCACUUUGUACAUGUAUUAAACUGUGAGUUUGACAUUUUCAAUGUUUAAUUAUUUUUCAAAGAAUCCAUGACUGAAACAAUGUCACAGUGAACUUUGACCCCUCUGUUGAGUAGCCAGGGUUAACAAUAAAAAAAUGUCUUACUAAUGGAAAGG